AGUUAUAAAGCUUAAAGAAAAGCAUAUGUUUUGAAAACAUAAGAAAGGAGUUUAAGUCUCCUAUUAACUU
rnacentral:tRNA from 1 species